rnacentral:rRNA from 1 species
CCUACGGGCGGCAGCAGUGGGGAAUAUUGGACAAUGGGCGAAAGCCUGAUCCAGCCAUGCUGCGUGUGUGAAGAAGGCCUUCGGGUUGUAAAGCACUUUCAGUGGGGAAGAAAGCCUUGGGGCUAAUACCCACGAGGAAGGACAUCACCCACAGAAGAAGCACCGGCUAACUCCGUGCCAGCAGCCGCGGUAAUACGGAGGGUGCGAGCGUUAAUCGGAAUUACUGGGCGUAAAGCGCGCGUAGGCGGUCUGAUAAGCCGGUUGUGAAAGCCCCGGGCUCAACCUGGGAACGGCAUCCGGAACUGUCAGGCUAGAGUGCAGGAGAGGAAGGUAGAAUUCCCGGUGUAGCGGUGAAAUGCGUAGAGAUCGGGAGGAAUACCAGUGGCGAAGGCGGCCUUCUGGACUGACACUGACGCUGAGGUGCGAAAGCGUGGGUAGCAAACAGGAUUAGAUACCCCAGUAGUC